CAGCUGUAAACGAUGCAGACUAGGUGUUUGGGCGGCCACGUGUCGUUCUAGUGCCGCAGGGAAGCUGUUAAGUCUGCCGCCUGGGGAGUACGAUCGCAAGGUUGAAACUUAAAGGAAUUGGCGGGGGAGCACCACAACGGGUGGAGCUUGCGGUUUAAUUGGAGUCAACGCCGGAAAUCUCACCGGGAGCGACAGCAGUAUGAAAGCCAGAUUGAAGGUCUUGCUUGACUAGCUG
rnacentral:rRNA from 1 species